rnacentral:rRNA from 1 species
UACGGGGGGUGCGAGCGUUGUUCGGAUUGAUUGGGCGUAAAGAGCACGUAGGCGGGCUUUUAAGUCGGUUGUGAAAUCCCCAGGCUUAACCUGGGAACUGCAGUCGAAACUGCUAGUCUUGAAUGUUCGAGAGGUUGGUGGAAUUCCAGGUGUAGAAGUGAAAUUCGUAGAUAUCUGGAGGAACACCGGCGGCGAAGGCGGCCAACUGGCGAAACAUUGACGCUGAGGUGCGAAAGCGUGGGGAGCAAACAGG